rnacentral:rRNA from 1 species
AAUGAACGCUGGCGGCAGGCCUAACACAUGCAAGUCGAACGCCCCGCAAGGGGAGUGGCGCACGGGUGAGUAACGCGUGGGAAUAUGCCCUUUGGUUCGGAAUAACACAGGGAAACUUGUGCUAAUACCGGAUAAGAUCUACGGAUGAAAGAUUCAUCGCCGAAGGAGUAGCCUGCGUAGGAUUAGCUAGUUGGUGGGGUAAUGGCUCACCAAGGCGACGAUCCUUAGCUGGUCUGAGAGGAUGAUCAGCCACACUGGGACUGAGACACGGCCCAGACUCCUACGGGAGGCAGCAGUGGGGAAUAUUGGACAAUGGGCGAAAGCCUGAUCCAGCCAUGCCGCGUGAGUGAUGAAGGCCUUAGGGUUGUAAAGCUCUUUCGCCAGGGAAGAUAAUGACGGUACCUGGAAAAGAAGCCUCGGCUAACUCCGUGCCAGCCGCCGCCGUAACAC